rnacentral:rRNA from 1 species
CAGGCUUAACACAUGCAAGUCGAGGGGCAUCAGGAAGAAAGCUUGCUUUCUUUGCUGGCGACCGGCGCACGGGUGAGUAACACGUAUCCAACCUGCCCUUUACUCGGGGAUAGCCUUUCGAAAGAAAGAUUAAUACCCGAUGGCAUAAUGAUUCCGCAUGGUUUCAUUAUUAAAGGAUUCCGGUAAAGGAUGGGGAUGCGUUCCAUUAGGUUGUUGGUGAGGUAACGGCUCACCAAGCCUUCGAUGGAUAGGGGUUCUGAGAGGAGGGUCCCCCACAUUGGAACUGAGACACGGUCCAAACUCCUACGGGAGGCAGCAGUGAGGAAUAUUGGUCAAUGGGCGCUAGCCUGAACCAGCCAAGUAGCGUGAAGGAUGAAGGCUCUAUGGGUCGUAAACUUCUUUUAUAUAAGAAUAAAGUGCAGUAUGUAUACUGUUUUGUAUGUAUUAUAUGAAUAAGGAUCGGCUAACUCCGUGCCAGCAGCCGCGGUAAUACGGAGGAUCCGAGCGUUAUCCGGAUUUAUUGGGUUUAAAGGGAGCGUAGGUGGACUGGUAAGUCAGUUGUGAAAGUUUGCGGCUCAACCGUAAAAUUGCAGUUGAUACUGUCAGUCUUGAGUACAGUAGAGGUGGGCGGAAUUCGUGGUGUAGCGGUGAAAUGCUUAGAUAUCACGAAGAACUCCGAUUGCGAAGGCAGCUCACUGGACUGCAACUGACACUGAUGCUCGAAAGUGUGGGUAUCAAACAGGAUUAGAUACCCUGGUAGUCCACACAGUAAACGAUGAAUACUCGCUGUUUGCGAUAUACAGUAAGCGGCCAAGCGAAAGCAUUAAGUAUUCCACCUGGGGAGUACGCCGGCAACGGUGAAACUCAAAGGAAUUGACGGGGGCCCGCACAAGCGGAGGAACAUGUGGUUUAAUUCGAUGAUACGCGAGGAACCUUACCCGGGCUUAAAUUGCAGUGGAAUGAUGUGGAAACAUGUCAGUGAGCAAUCACCGCUGUGAAGGUGCUGCAUGGUUGUCGUCAGCUCGUGCCGUGAGGUGUCGGCUUAAGUGCCAUAACGAGCGCAACCCUUAUCUUUAGUUACUAACAGGUUAUGCUGAGGACUCUAGAGAGACUGCCGUCGUAAGAUGUGAGGAAGGUGGGGAUGACGUCAAAUCAGCACGGCCCUUACGUCCGGGGCUACACACGUGUUACAAUGGGGGGUACAGAAGGCAGCUAGCGGGUGACCGUAUGCUAAUCCCAAAAUCCUCUCUCAGUUCGGAUCGAAGUCUGCAACCCGACUUCGUGAAGCUGGAUUCGCUAGUAAUCGCGCAUCAGCCACGGCGCGGUGAAUACGUUCCCGGGCCUUGUACACACCGCCCGUCAAGCCAUGGGAGCCGGGGGUACCUGAAGUACGUAACCGCAAGGAUCGUCCUAGGGUAAAACUGGUGACUGG